UGCAGUUCGAACGGCAGCGCGAGAGAGCUUGCUUCUCUUGGCGGCAGUGGCGGACGGGUGAGUAAUAUAUCGGAACGUGCCCGGUAGCGGGGGAUAACUACUCGAAAGAGUGGCUAAGACCGCAAACGCCCUACGGGGGAAAGGGGGGGAUCGCAAGACCUCUCACUAUUGGAGCGGCCGAUAUCGGAUUAGCUAGUUGGUGGGGUAAAGGCUCCACCAAGGCAACGAUCCGUAUGCUGGUUUGAGAGGACGACCAGCCACACUGGGACUGAGACCCGGCCCAGUCUUCUUGCGGGAGGCAGCAGUGAGGAAUUUUGGACAAUGGGGGAAACCCUGAUCCAGCCAUCCCGCGUGUAUGAUGAAGCCCUUCGGGUUGUAAAGUACUUUUGGCAGAGAAGAAAAGGUAUCCCCUAAUACGGGAUACUGCUGACGGUAUCUGCAGAAUAAGCACCGGCUAACUACGUGCCAGCAGCCGCGGUAAUACGUAGGGUGCAAGCGUUAAUCGGAAUUACUGGGCGUAAAGCGUGUGUAGGCGGUUCGGAAAGAAAGAUGUGAAAUCCCAGGGCUCAACCUUGGAACUGCAUUUUUAACUGCCGAGCUAGAGUAUGUCAGAGGGGGGUAGAAUUCCACGUGUAGCAUUGAAAUGCGUAGAUAUGUGGAGGAAUACCGAUGGCGAAGGCAGCCCCCUGGGAUAAUACUGACGCUCAGACACGAAAGCGUGGGGAGCAAACAGGAUUAGAUACCCUGGUAGUCCACGCCCUAAACGAUGUCAACUAGCUGUUGGGGCCGUUAGGCCUUAGUAGCGCAGCUUACGCGUGAAGUUGACCGCCUGGGGAGUACGGUCGCAAGAUUAAAACUCAAAGGAAUUGACGGGGACCCGCACAAGCGGUGGAUGAUGUGGAUUAAUUCGAUGCAACGCGAAAAACCUUACCUACCCUUGACAUGUCUGGAAAGCCAAAAAGAUUUGGCCGUGCUCGCAGAAAAACCGGAACACAGGUGCUGCAUGGCUGUCGUCAGCUCGUGUCGUGAGAUGUUGGGUUAAUUCCCGCAACGACCGCAACCCUUGUCAUUAGUUGCUACCCAAGACCACUCUAAUGAGACUGCCGGUGACAAACCGGAGGAAGGUGGGGAUGACGUCAAGUCCUCAUGGCCCUUAUGGGUAGGGCUUCACACGUCAUACAAUGGUCGGGACAGAGGGUCGCCAACCCGCGAGGGGGAGCCAAUCUCAGAAACCCGAUCGUAGUCCGGAUCGCAGUCUGCAACUCGACUGCGUGAAGUCGGAAUCGCUAGUAAUCGCGGAUCAGAAUGUCGCGGUGAAUACGUUCCCGGGUCUUGUACACACCGCCCGUCACACCAUGGGAGUGGGUUUCACCAGAAGUAGGUAGCCUAACCGUAAGGAGGGCG
rnacentral:rRNA from 1 species